rnacentral:rRNA from 1 species
AUUGAACGCUGGCGGCAUGCCUUACACAUGCAAGUCGAACGGUAACAGGUCUUCGGAUGCUGACGAGUGGCGAACGGGUGAGUAAUACAUCGGAACGUGCCCGAUCGUGGGGGAUAACGAAGCGAAAGCUUUGCUAAUACCGCAUAAGAGCUAAGGAUGAAAGCAGGGGACCGCAAGGCCUUGCGUGAACGGAGCCGACGAUGGCAGAUUAGGUAGUUGGUGGUAUAAUAGCUUACCAAGCCGACGAUCUGUAGCUGGUCUGAGAGGACGACCAGCCACACUGGGACUGAGACACGGUCCAGACUCAUACGGGAGGCAGCAGUGGGGAAUUUUGGACAAGGGGCGAAAGCCUGAUCCAGCCAUGCCGCGUGCAGGAUGAAGGCCUUCGGGUUGUAAACUGCUUUUGUACGGAACGAAAAGACUCUUUCUAAUAAAGAGGGUCCAUGACGGUACCGUAAGAAUAAGCACCGGCUAACUACGUGCCAGCAGCCGCGGUAA